rnacentral:tRNA from 1 species
GUUUAUUAGCUCAGUGGAAGAGCAUUCGUUUCAUACGAAAGGUCAUCGGUUCGAUUCCGAUAUAAUACG